ensembl:misc_RNA 7SK 7SK RNA
GGAUGUGAGGGUGAUCUGGCUGUCGGUCAUCCCACUGAUUGCCAGGGUUGAUUUGACUAAUCUGGCUGGCUAGGAAGGUGUCCCCUUCUUCCCUCACUGCUCCAUGGAUGACCAUCCCAAAGCUAGCUCAGUCCAAGAGGACUGCUUUCCCUGAAUAGAGAGGACCCGUCUUUGGUUGAGGGUAUAGGAGUAGCUACGCUCCCCUGCUAGAACUUCCAAACAAGCUCUCAACGUCCCUCAUUAGAAACUUGGAAAAGGACAGGAGUUGGGGUGAAGAAGAUUGCACUUUACUGGCAGUAUUAUAUUACAU